CUCAAUGUGUCAAGAAAACAACACCAUUACAGGAAAUCUGCAACAAAUACUGGAUUAACUUUAUUCUGGGAACUUUGACUUUUUGGGCAAGGUUGGAUUUAUCAAGUGAACAGGUUCCCCAUGGCUACACCACCGCAACAUCCGGAAAAAGCUAAAAUUUAAAAACAGUACAGAACAGCAAAUUGCCCAAACGCCCUGUCUAUCCAUACUAACAUCAAAUCAACAGAUAGAGACAAGCUUCAGUCCUUCCACGUUGCCACAAAACCUGUUGCUAGUGGCAACUGUGCUCCAGACGACACAGCCUCCAGAACCAACUAUUGAGUGAUUUUUGUUCAGAUCUAUGGUGCAAUGGUUUUCAUAAUUUUGUCAAUUUGAGUUCAUCGCCUGUAAUCUGCUUAAUGUGACUGCUCCCUGUGAUGGUGCUAUUGUUUAUUAUUGACCUAUGUAUCUUGCUGUACAUGUCCCCACCAAAAGACUUAAGUCAAUGUCACAGAUACAUGUUAACUAAGCAAGUUAAAUAGCAAGUUUAUUUCAGUAACAGUAGGCCAGUGAUUAACUCUAUCAUAAGAAAACAACAUCAUGCAAUGUGACUUCUUGUAAACCUAUAUUAAUCUAAAAUGCAAAAUUUUAUAAACAAAUCAAUGGAAAAUCUGCAAUACAGGACAAGAAGACACUUAAGCUAGACACCUGCUUGUUGCCAGAAUGUUACAGUUUACCUGGCAACAAGAUGUGAACUUUCUAAAACCCAGAAAGAGAUUUCCUUUGUAAAAAAUAUCUGAAUAUCUGUUUAUUAAGACUUAAGUGUGUGUUAUCAUGUCAAUAUAUUGUAUGCAUGCAUUAGGGAAUUAAACAAGGCUUGGUCUGAUCCACUAAUAAAUCACUAAUGUCAGCUUAGCCAGACAGGGAAAAACGCUAUGUCUCCAUGUCAUUCAAAAAUAGAUGAAAAAAUUAUAAAUUGAUAAACUGAAAUCAACAAUGUCAACAAGAACACAAGAGGAGAUGUACCGCUGGCAACAAGCUUUCUUUCCAUUAAUUCACGUAGUUUGAUCGUAUAAGAAAGUAGAAAGAAAACGUAAGUAAGUAAGCAGUUUGAAAUUUUAGUUGUGUCUUUGUCAUUUGUGUGGGUCAAUUAAAUACCUAAAAUAUUAAAACAGUCUUAUCCAAUUGGACAGGCUAAAGUACACAAUAGUCAUUUUGUAUAUGUUAUAAUCUUAUUUAUGUCAAAGUCCACUGUCAGGUUUUAUUUCUUUUUCUGCAUGCCUAGUGUGUUUGAUAUGCAUGUGAAUAAAAACUCUUGCUUGGU